AUUCGCUGUCUGUCUUUCCACCUGCGCUGCAUGGUGCACGCGACGCAAGCGUUGGCCAGGCAUUGGGGACUAGGCUAAAUGGCCAUGUUGGAACCAUGCCCAUGGACCAAAAUAUGGUGAGUCAGUGAGCUCAUCUCUACCCCCUGGUGGUGUACUCUGGAACCCCCAGUCCUCCUCAAAACUGCUCUGAUCAGUGGGAUGCGGUUGCCGGGCGACCAGUGGAGUGGUGGAACGCUCAGGAGCUUACAUGUAGGAGAGGGGACAACACGGGAUAGAGAACAGAAGGCAAUGUCAUCAUCAUCAUCCUCACCACCACCACAAUCAUCAUCAUCACUAUCAACAUGCAAUAUUGCAUUUUGCUGGCUGGAUGUUUGAACUUGGCCUCUCUUCCUCCCUCAUUUCAUCUAAGCUCUUUCCUUCUCUCUCGGUAGCUAGGUUUCCAUCCAAUUUAAUGUGAAUAUUCUCAAAUCUGCAUAAGAAAAUAUGUACAUUUUCCCACCAGUGGUGUGUCUCCACCAAACGGACUUGUUGCGGAUUUAAAAACAGGAACUCAGUCUGGCUUUCAACUUGAAACAGUAGAAUGCACAAGGUGCAACUUCUAAAUUGGGUAGUAGAUUAUCAGUUCCUCUUGUCAUGUCAGUCAUUGUAUACCUUAGAGAGCUAUUUAUAACUUGUCAGAAAUGUCCAGAUCAACUAAACAUUUGUUUGCUAGGUUUUUUAGCCCAUAGAUUUUGUUGAGUCACUCAAAUAUCACAUGAAUACACAUUAGACAUGGCAAAAUGUAAAGAGUUGCAAGAAAAUGACCUUUAAAAACAGCUAAAUAUUCUCUGCACCCCAUUACAAAAUGUGUAGAAUUGCUGGAAAUAAACUUUAAACCUAAA